rnacentral:rRNA from 1 species
GACGAACGCUGGCGGCGUGCUUAACACAUGCAAGUCGAACGGUGAAGCUCCAGCUUGCUGAAGUGGAUCAGUGGCGAACGGGUGAGUAACACGUGAGCAACCUGCCCCUGACUCUGGAAUAAGCGCUGGAAACGGCGUCUAAUACUGGAUACGAGAAGGGUCCGCAUGGGCACUUUCUGGAAAGUUUUUCGGUUGGGGAUGGGCUCGCGGCCUAUCAGCUUGUUGGUGAGGUAAUGGCUCACCAAGGCGACGACGGGUAGCCGGCCUGAGAGGGCGACCGGCCACACUGGGACUGAGACACGGCCCAGACUCCUACGGGAGGCAGCAGUGGGGAAUAUUGCACAAUGGGCGAAAGCCUGAUGCAGCGACGCCGCGUGAGGGAUGACGGCCUUCGGGUUGUAAACCUCUUUCAGCAGGGAAGAAGCGAAAGUGACGGUACCUGCAGAAGAAGCACCGGCUAACUACGUG